UGGAGUAAUUGCUGAAUCAGACAGAGCCAAUCGAUGAUCAGCAGGGCCUGAAAACGCCAAAACCCUGAGACAACUGACCUUCAAAAACUUCAACAUCCCUGAAUGAAACGUCCAAACACAUUUAUCUGCCAAUCAAAAACCCUUUAUAGUCUGUGAUCUAUGCAUCUCAGAAGUCUCUUUUUACCACACUGUCUAUAUACUGCAUGAACCAUUUAUAUGAAUCUAUCUGACACUCCAAGGCAUCUUAUACUAUAUAUUCAACCAUGUAUCCCUAGUAACUAGUACAGUCCUGGCAUAUAGUUUGCUACUAAACAUUUGCAGAAUGAAGUAAUUAUCUUGUAUCCAGGUUCCAAGUUGUAAGGUAAUUUCUCACUAAAAAA
rnacentral:lncRNA from 1 species